GACGACCUGGCGGCGUGCCUAAUACAUGCAAGUAGAACGCUGAAGGAGGAGCUUGCUCCUCUGGAUGAGUUGCGAACGGGUUGGGUAACGCGUAGGUAACCUGCCUGGUAGCGGGGGAUAACUAUUGGAAACGAUAGCUAAUACCGCAUAAGAGUAGAUGUUGCAUGACAUUUGCUUAAAAGGUGCAAUUGCAUCACUACCAGAUGGACCUGCGUUGUAUUAGCUAGUUGGUGAGGUAACGGCUCACCAAGGCAACGAUACAUAGCCGACCUGAGAGGGUGAUCGGCCACACUGGGACUGAGACACGGCCCAGACCCCUACGGGAGGCAGCAGUAGGGAAUCUUCGGCAAUGGACGGAAGUCUGACCGAGCAACGCCGCGUGAGUGAAGAAGGUUUUCGGAUCGUAAAGCUCUGUUGUAAGAGAAGAACGAGUGUGAGAGUGGAAAGUUCACACAGUGACGUAUCUACCAGAAAGG
rnacentral:rRNA from 1 species